rnacentral:rRNA from 1 species
GCGCCAGACUCCUACGGGAGGCAGCAGUGGGGAAUAUUGCGCAAUGGGCGAAAGCCUGACGCAGCGACGCCGCGUGAGGGAUGGAGGUCUUCGGAUCGUAAACCUCUGUCAGCAGGGAAGAACGGUCACUGUGCUAAUCAGCAGUGAAUUGACGGUACCUGCAAAGGAAGCACCGGCUAACUCCGUGCCAGCAGCCGCGGUAAUACGGAGGGUGCGAGCGUUAUCCGGAUUUAUUGGGUUUAAAGGGUGCGUAGGCGGGAUGCCAAGUCAGCGGUAAAAAUGCGGUGCUCAACGCCGUCGAGCCGUUGAAACUGGCGUUCUUGAGUGGGCGAGAAGUAUGCGGAAUGCGUGGUGUAGCGGUGAAAUGCAUAGAUAUCACGCAGAACUCCGAUUGCGAAGGCAGCAUACCGGCGCCCUACUGACGCUGAGGCACGAAAGCGUGGGUAUCGAACAGGAUUAGAUACCCUAGUAU